rnacentral:tRNA from 1 species
GACUCCGUAGCUCAGGUGGUAGAGCAAUUGACUCUUAAUCAAUGGGUCGAGAGUUCGAGCCUCUCCGGGGUCA